rnacentral:lncRNA from 1 species
UAGAUUCUAUAACAUGCAAAGCUAAGGUAGUUAAAAGACAUUUUUCUUUUCUGGCAAAUCAGGGAAAGAGAGGAAGCAAUGGCUGACACUAAAGGAAUUUACUGUUCAUAUUCCAGCCCCACAAAUACGCUCUAGAAGCUGUAGGUUGAACAGUAAAUCAUUAGAACACAAACAUAUUUGUGUAGUUUUCUUAUGCAGAACAGUAGAAAGGGAAAGUGUAUUAUUCUUUCUGUACUCUAAGGAAAAUUAAAAGUAGACUAAACUGCAAGAGGAAGUGAGAUGCCAGUGGAAUGGCCAAGAUAAGCAGUUUGCUCCAGAUAAAAUAAUAAAAGUGGAAGGUAGUGCUGUCUUACUAUGGGGAAGAUAUUUUUCACUGAGGCAUCUCAGAUUUUUACUGUAUCAGAAUUAUGCCUGUGGAUGUGUCUGAUCUUGCUCCCAUGGAAUGGAGCUCUCUCUCCCCACUGGAAAUGAGUACAAAUCUAGGGAUUUGUACCUUCCAGAUAUACGCUACCAGAUGUUCUGCUGCUAGUUUCUUUCUCUAACCAGGAAAAAAAUUCCCUCUCUCUCCUUUUCUUUGGUUCUAGACUUUCCUUCAUCUAUGUCAUUAUUAUGUUGUUAGAUAAAUGAGAGGGAUGCAGUUUGAAUUGCUACCCACAGUAAUAUCAAUAUCAGAUGCCUGGAUGGAAAGUCCUUUAUGACUGUUCAGGAUCAAACAAAAAUAAUUACCAAUGGAGUUUGGAUCUGAAAGGAAAUCUUCAUCUCUUCACAAUUCUCCAGGUCUUGACUGGAGGUGUGACUGAACUGUUUAAGACUGUGGCAUGUCUUGUUUCGUUGCUGUGAACCCAUGACUAAAAGGGCAGCUAAAAGCAGUGUUGUAAUCAUCAGCUGCUGCUAGGAGUUUGCCAGGUUUUGGAGUGGUUGAUAAGACCAAAUACUGGGCCUGUCCUUCUCCAGUUGCAAGUAUGAGAAUAGCUCUUUUUCUUUUCAUUUUCUGUACUUUUCUCCUCUUCCCUGUGUUACUCCUCUCAGUUAUUGCCCUCUUUAAUACAAAGUACAAGGGCUUUCAUUUAUGAAAGCUCUCUCUAAAGACUGUAGGUUAAGAAAAUGGA